CAUUGUAAAACCCCCUUAGACCCAAAGCAGGGUUUUAGCUCUAGCCCUCACUCAGCAGCCAGCCAAGAAGCAAGAGUUAGUUCUCUCUUGUUCAUAUUCCGAAGCCAAGACGAACAACCUUCAGAAUCUAUCAUUUCUUCUCAUAAUCAAUGGCCUCAAUUGGUGCUCGGUCUGCUUUCCGGUCAUUCUCCGGUUCGGCACGCCGUGCUGCUGCUCACAUCGGUUCUCAACCCAAGCCCUCACCAUCCUCUCCCUUUCGUAUGGCAACUAACAAACCCCUCUCUCAUCGUACUUUCAGGUGUGCGCCUGAGAUGAGCUUCUGUUUGGAGUCAAUGAUGCCAUUUCACUCUGUGUCGUCCUCAGCUUUGAUGACUUCAAUGCUCUCUAUCUCACGCCACAGCUGUGGUUGGCUCCCCGAAGGUAGCUAGCACACUUUAUAGGCCCAUUGAUGCUUCUUGCCUUCUUGUUGCUCUGCAUGCAAUGAUGAUAAGUGACAAGAAGAACUAUACUGAUGGUGACGUCUAUUAAGUAGAAGCUUCCAUGCUCCAAAUGGUGGUUUGUGAAGAAGAGCUUCCGAUGAAUGGCUAUGGAUUAUUGUUAUUUGAAGACUGAUUUAAUUUUAAUUUUUAGUGUUGAUUCUCUAUUUCGGACCCUUUUAUUGUUAACAAUUGUAUGUGAUCAUGUUAAUUUUUUCGUUGAAUAUUUCAUUGAGCAAUUGACAACUUCGUCUUCUUACUGGAAAAAUGGGUUUGUAUUUUGUAUCAGCUUCGAUAUCAGUGACUUGAAAUAUGUGCUAGUGAUGCGUGGUUGAAUACUAGUGUCUUUAAACUUAGUUAAAAUAUCAAAGUGAAGAUUUUCAAA